UACAGAGGGGGCAAGCGUUGUUCGGAAUUACUGGGCGUAAAGGGCGCGUAGGCGGCCUGUUAAGUCGAACGUGAAAUCCCUCGGCUUAACCGGGGAACUGCGUCUGAUACUGGAUGGCUGGAGUUUGGGAGAGGGAUGCGGAAUUCCAGGUGUAGCGGUGAAAUGCUUAGAUAUGACACAGAACACCGAUUGCGAAGGCAGCUCACUAAGUCAUAACUGACGCUGAUGCACGAAAGCGUGGGGAGCAAACAGG
rnacentral:rRNA from 1 species